UACAGAGGGGGCAAGCGUUGUUCGGAAUUACUGGGCGUAAAGGGCGCGUAGGCGGCCUUCUAAGUCGAACGUGAAAUCCCCGGGCUCAACCCGGGAACUGCGUCCGAGACUGGAAGGCUCGAAUCCGGGAGAGGGAUGUGGAAUUCCAGGUGUAGCGGUGAAAUGCGUAGAUAUCUGGAGGAACAUCGGUGGCGAAGGCGGCAUCCUGGACCGGUAUUGACGCUGAGGCGCGAAGCCAGGGAGCAAACGGG
rnacentral:rRNA from 1 species